rnacentral:lncRNA from 1 species
CAAAACCCUCUAUUCUUUAAAUUAAUAUUAAUUUUCUUGAUAAAAUUCAAAAGAUUUGAUAAAAAUAUAUAAUAAAAUGUUAGAAUAUUUUGUUGCUAAAGAAAUAAAUAUAUUCGAUACUAUUAUGUGUCGGUAUACAUAAGAUUUUUUAUGACCGGCACGUAUUGGCAUGACCUAACACGCAUCGUUUCGACAAAUUUCUGGCACAAUUUCGUGCCACGACACUUAAAUCCUUGCAUACACACACAAUUCAUAGGUUAAAACUCCUAAAUUUCAAGCCUUUAUAAAACUGACCUCCUGAUUUUUUUUUAAUUAAUUAACA